rnacentral:rRNA from 1 species
GACAGAGGGUGCGAACGUUGUUCGGAAUUACUGGGCGUAAAGCGCGUGUAGGCGGCAGCGCAAGUCGGGCGUGAAAUCCCACGGCUCAACCGUGGAAGUGCACUCGAAACUGCGCAGCUAGAGUCCUGGAGAGGAAGGUGGAAUGCUUGGUGUAGAGGUGAAAUGCGCAGAUAUCAGGAGGAACACCGGUGGCGAAGGCGGUUCUCUGGGCAUUACCUGACGCUGAGGAGCGAAAGCGUGGGGAGCAAACAGG